AAACCCACUAAAGAAAGAAAGAAAGAGCUCGCGUGUGAUGGGGUUAUGUAUCCUCAGUGGUUUUCUCUCUUGAGUGUUUUAUUGAGACUUUACAGGGUCUUGUCUAGUGUGAAUUUUAGUGAUGAUGAGAUGGAGUCUCUGGAUUCUGUCUGUAACGCUGGAGAACAGCAGCAGAUCCUGCAGACCAAACUCAACAUGUGUUCAGUCAAACUCAUCGACUUCAGGAACCUCAUGAUGAAGAUCAAAACUGAACCUACAGAAAUAAAAACUGAACCUACAGAAGAGGAAGAACACAGUGGUGAUGCUUUUAUUUCUUCAGAUGAGAAGAGCCAUUCAUGUUCUGAGGGAGAAAUAAAAUCAUCAACAUCAAAAGAAAGACAUUUAGAGAGACAUGAGAGAAAGCACACAGAACAGAAACUCUUCACCUGCAGGAGAUCUGAGAUCAGCUUUAAAACCUUACAAGAGAAGAAACUUCAUUCAGAAGAGCACAGUGAGAAGAAGAAGAAGCUGUUUUACUGUGAGCAGUGUGGGAAGGGUUUUGUCCUCUUAUAUCAGCUGAAAGUUCACAUGAGGACACACACUGGUGAAAAGCCUUUCCAAUGCACUGAAUGUGGCAAAUAUUUUACCACCAAACAAAAUCUUGAUGUUCAUCAGAGAAUUCACACAGGAGAAAAACCCUAUCAAUGUUCACACUGUGAUAAACGUUUCUGUCAGAAAUCUCAGCUGAUAAGCCACGAGAGAGUUCAUGCAGAAGAGAAACCUCAUCAAUGCUCUUGCUGUGGAAAAAGAUUUUUUGAUUCAUCUCAAUUAAAAAUUCAUCUGAGAAUUCACACUGGAGAGAACCCUUACCAAUGCUCUCAUUGUGAGAAGACGUUUACUAAGUCAAGUAACUUAAAAGCCCAUGAGAGACUUCAUACUGGAGAGAAACCUUAUCACUGUGGUGUUUGUGGAAAGAGUUUUAAUCAAAGUAGCAGUUUAGUGUCACACCAGAGAACUCAUACACAUGAAAAACCUUACAAAUGCUCUCAGUGUGAGAAGACGUUUAAUCAUUUAGGUUCCUUAAAAACCCAUGAGAGAGUUCAUACUGGAGAAAAACCUUACGUCUGCUCUCACUGUGGAAAGAGAUUUACUGAUCCAUCUCAUGUUAGAGUCCAUCUGAGAGUUCACACUGGAGAGAAACCUUAUCUCUGUAAUCUCUGUGGGAAGAGUUUUAAUCAAAGUAGCAGUUUAGUGAAACACCAGAGAACUCAUACAGGUGAAAAACCUCAUCAGUGUAGUGUCUGUGGGAAGAGUUUCAGUCAACAUGAACAUUUAGUAAAUCACCAGAGAAUUCAUACAGGUGAAAAACCUUUCAAAUGCUCUCAGUGUGAGAAGACGUUUGCUCAGUCAAGUCAAUUAAAAAUCCAUCAGAGAGAUCACACUGGAGAGAACCCUUAUCACUGUGAUGUUUGUGGGAAGAGUUUUAAUCAAAGCGGCAGUUUAGUGUCACACCAGAGAACUCAUUCAGGUGAAAAACCUUACAAAUGCUCUCAGUGUGAGAAGACGUUUGCCCAUUCAAGUACCUUAAAAACCCAUGAGAGACUUCAUACAGGUGAAAAACCUUACAAAUGCUCUCAGUGUGGGAAGACGUGUACUCAAGCAGGCCAAUUAAAAGUCCAUCAGAGAGUUCAUACUAGAGAGAAACCUUAACACUGCUUGAUCUGUUGAAAUAGAUUUGCUUUAUUAGGAAGUUUUCAAACUCAUGAGAAGAAACCUACUGAAGAGUUGUGUUAGAACGACGCCGAAUGGCUGAAUCCAGAGGGAACUAUAUUCUAAAAGAAAACAUUUAAUUCUGGUGAAAAUCAACCUCUAAAAUCUUUCUUAAGAGUUCACAUCUACCUCCAAGACAACCACCCCAUUGUGUGGAUAGAAGAGUCACCUCACCAAGAUUACUUUGCAUCUGUUCUCUUUCUUCACCCCUCCUCAUCCUCUCAGCUUAGAGAAUCUGACAGCUGACCUGUAAAUCGCUGACCAAGAACUGUGUAUGAAAUGUUACAUUCAAGAGUCAUGUUUGAUAUCAUUUGAAAUGUCUCGGUGUGAUUGGUACAAUGGUCUCACUCCCAUAACAACAGAAUUAAAUUCGGCAAACUUCACUCAAUGUUAAGAGACACCUCCCACCUUAGACAUGUAAACCCAUCACCUAGUAUAAGGUGAAGCCCCUGGGUCCACAAAACCCAAUCAAUACCAAAAUUCGUAUCAUUAUUACAAAUUGUGCUUUGUGGAUAUUUAAGGAAAGUUUGCUGAAGGUUCAAGGGGAUUUUCUAUAUUUUAAAUCAAACCCACACAUCACGUAUCUCUUUAUUUCACUUGUGAAUUCUUUAAUUUAUAUGGUCUGACAAACCACUUAAUUUUAACUAGUAUUGGUGUAUCAACUGCCUUUAAUUAUUUGGUCUGACGAACCUCUUAACUAGUUGUAGGGGUGGGCGAUAUGACCAAAAUCUUCUAUCACGUUAGGAAUCAUUUUAUAUCAUGAUAACGAUAUGUAAUACAGUAAAGUUUUAUGUUUUAAUAAGGUUUUUCUAUUAUUAAAAUCUUUAAUAGCAUAAUUCUCACAAAAACCUUAUACAAGCAUACAAAGAAGAUUCAUAACCAUGAGUAACAGACAGGAGCAAAAUUAGGUAAUUUCCCUUUUAAGACCAAAGUUUGGAUGUUACACAUGCGUUUUCUCUUUUAGCUGUUCACUUUCUCUUAAGCCCUAAAUGGUCGUGUUUAUGAGGAUACUUGCGUCACACACGCACAGAAGCGUGACAUGGGCACGUAACCUCGAUAGAGACGAUAAAUAUCUACCAGUUGGCAAAUUUUUACCAGUUAAUCUACCGGUUUAUCGACCACCCCUAACUAGUUGCAUGGGCCAACCCAUAAUACUCCUCCCUCUUUAACCGGGUUAGAUAAACUAGCUGAGAGUGAGGUGAUGGGGUGGAGGAGGGAUGCUGCAAAACUGUCAUGGGACAAAGGUGACAGAUGGCUAUUUACAGACACCGUUUCAUGCCAACAUUCAGUACGAGUAAAAUACUUAAAGGUAUAGCGGAAGAAUUUCUUUUUCCGGGUGGAUCAUCAAGACUAUUGGUCUCCCAGUUGUCAAUCAUUCUGGUGAUAUGUUGACGUACGUGCUAGUCCCUAGGUUUGCUUUCUGCACAUGCGCACUUUCAGGUGUAUAUGUGUGGUGGUCUACGGUUUCAACCAUUCAUUGAAUCUUGUGUUUUCACCGUGUUUUUUCAAAUGUCUGGGGGUCGCAAGAGAAAAAGUGUCUACAAAUUGUAUGACAAGAAGAGAAAGGCCUCUGAAGAAAGAAACAAGUUCAGUGUUUUGGGGAGAAUAUUUCACAUGCUGGUGUGCGCUAAAACCACAGGUUGGGCUUCCCACGCAAAGUUUCUACUCGACAGGUAAAUUUUGUCAUGCUAUUUGGAGAUAUCCAUUUAAAAUCACUGCUAGUAAAAGUUGAUGUAAGAUAUGAUUAGCGAUGCUAUCCCCAGCACAAGUCAUGUACCGCACAGACAUGGUAAACAUGCCGACAACAACUUGUAAACAAACAGAGCGAAUAAAAGAACUAGGCUCGUGCAUGCUCUCUCUCGUGUACAUGUUUAAUAGGCGUUCCCUCUCUACAGCAGGUAGAGUGUUGCGCAUGUGCAUUUUUUUUUUAAGUGGAGGGCGGUUUUUUUUAUUCAGUAAAACCUUCCGCUAUAACUUUAGGUACUUUUAAUUUGGGUUACUUUAGAACUUUUACUCAAGUCGUAUUUAAAUUGGUGACUUCUAACUUGUGGAGUAAUUUUUACAGUAAGGUAUCUUUACUUUUACAAAAGUAUGGCUUUCAUGUACUCUUUACACCUCUGCAGCAGUUACGAGUAUGUAUGGUAAUAAAAUGUGGUGAUUUUCUAAGCGGAUAAAAAUUGAUAAUUACAUUAUAUGGCAGAAGAUUGCUUACUUUGCAGCAUCUCAACCUCGGGCACAAUAACCAUGAAGUGAAUUUAACUAGGGAAAAACUACCAAAGAAAAUAUCAAGAGUCAAACUAAAACAAACACAAAUCACCAUAAUUGUGGCUUUGAAUGAAACAACACAUCAACAUCCAAACUUAAUAAGUGAAUUGUGUUUUCUACAGCAUUAUUUUUACAAAACAUUUUGAAAUGUUUUAUAACAGUUUUAAAGCAACACUAUGUAGUUUUUUACCUUUAAAUAAUGUCUCUAAAAUUAUUUCAGUGAGAACUUUUAACUAGACAAAUUGUACUGUUGCUGCAACCUGAGCAGGCUCCUAGCUGCUACAAGCACACUCUGAAAGUGACAGGUGGAGGGUAGGAAACACAGCCCCGCCCCUCCCCCUGCCUGCAGAAGAGUGUCUGAUACCAGGCACUGUUGCGCUUUUUAACCACAUGGGGGAGCUGUAAGUCAUUUUUACAUGGAAACUACAUAGUGUUGCUUUAAAAUAAUAAAAUGCAAUGUUUCUCUAUUAUUAACAUAAUAAGCAAGUUGUUGUAAACAUUGUGUGAACAUUAAAACAUGACAUCGUCAUAAUGUUUGAAAAUGGUAGAGUGUAACAUUCCUCUAACAUUCAGACAGCCAAGAAAAGUUCUUAAAUAUGAAAAACCCACCUUUUGUUGGCAGAACAGUUUUUUUCAAGGAACAUUCUUAGAACUUUUCUCUGUCAGCUGGGCAUGUGCAUCUAUUUUCUGGGUUAGUAAGUAUCUUUUACUUGCAUUUGUAGUUUUUUCCAUCACUUAAUUUUGACGGCAAAAUAGAAAGUUAAUAUUACUUGAGCAAUUCCAUUCAAAUUAAGGAAUGUAUUUGAGCACAAAUAUUAAAAAAGAACAAAGUCCUUGAACUAAACGUGACAUUAUGAAGUAGAAAGACAAAAUAGUAUUUGUAAGUAAAACAUACUUGGAUAAUGCUAACUUCCCUUACGAAAAUUAACCAUGGUUUUAUUGUGGUAAAAGUGUAGUAACCAUGUUUUUUUUGGUGAAUUGAUUACUAUCAGCAAAACCAUGGUUUUACUACACUAACCAUGGUUUUUUGGUUUUAACUGUAGUAAAACCAUGGUUAAUUUUCGUAAGGGUUUAUUUACAAAUUGAAAAAAUAUAUAUAUUUUUACAGUGCAGAGAAGAGCUGUUACUCUGUGGGGUUACUCAGCUGUUACACAGAAGAGCUGUGACGGUGCCGUUAGUUCACGUCAAGUCACAGCUUCCAGUAGCAAGAGUGGAAGAAAGGGAGAACGGAAGAUUUAAUGCAACACAUAUUGAACUACGGAUAAGAAACAGCGCCAACAGGUGAAGAAGGUUUUAUUAAUCAAAAUAUAAAGAAAUAGAGAAAGAGAAAAAAAGGGAAAGAGACAUUUAGUCUCAGAAACGAUGACCUAGGGUGACCCUUACAAAAGUGAUGUCAUGUGUUUCUUUAUGCUACAAGCCUGAACAUAAACUUAUUGUAUUGAGCUUACAUGGAGUUUGUGGGUAUAUAUAAAAGCCAUAGUACAGAGAGAGGCAAGCUGAUCUUGCAGGAUCUUCUCAGGACCUCAGUUGGUUCAGAGAUGGUUCACCAGGACGGAGUCGACUUUUAUUUGUCUGGAUAAUAAGUCUAUAUUAAACUAAAAUACUAAAGCAGCUAUUCUUAAAGAACCCAAAAAGAAAACCACAACAGUGCCCAGGUUAGGAAAAGAGGAAAGAUAAGGAGAAACAUACAAAGGAUGAAAGUGUGUAUGCUAUGUCACUUUCUCAAUAUGAGUAAAAUAUGUAUAUAAUAACUAAUAUAUCAUUAUGUAGCUUGCUAUGCAAUUAUACAGAGCAGUAAUAUUAAUUUGUUCUGUCCAACUAGCUUAUGCAACAUUUAAAAGUUUUAGGAUCACUUUCACUUAUUAUUAAUAUUUUUCAACAUAUUACUAUAAUAGAAAAUAUAUAAAACCGUUAAAUAACAGGGAUGGAACAUAAUGAAGCCAAUACUGUAACUGAAAAAAAUAAAAUAAAAACAGAAACAUUUACUGGGGAUAAAACAUGUUUUAAUAAGUUCAUAAAUGUAUUCAGGAAUUUAAUUUGUUAG